rnacentral:rRNA from 1 species
AGAGUUUGAUCAUGGCUCAGGAUGAACGCUAGCUACAGGCUUAACACAUGCAAGUCGAGGGGCAGCGGAAGAAAGCUUGCUUCUUGCCGGCGACCGGCGCACGGGUGAGUAACGCGUAUCCAACCUUCCCCUUAGUAGGGCAUAGCCCGUAGAAAUGCGGAUUAAUACCCUAUGUUGUUCGAUGCGGACAUCUAAGUUGAACCAAAGGUUUACCGCUAAGGGAUGGGGAUGCGUCUGAUUAGGCAGCAGGCGGGGUAACGGCCCACCUGGCCGACGAUCAGUAGGGGUUCUGAGAGGAAGGUCCCCCACAUUGGAACUGAGACACGGUCCAAACUCCUACGGGAGGCAGCAGUGAGGAAUAUUGGUCAAUGGGCGAGAGCCUGAACCAGCCAAGUAGCGUGCCAGGAUGACGGCCCUAUGGGUUGUAAACUGCUUUUAUGCGGGGAUAAAGUCACCCACGUGUGGGUGUUUGUAGGUACCGCAUGAAUAAGGACCGGCUAAUUCCGUGCCAGCCGCAGC